GGGCGCGUGGUUUAGUGGUAGUAAGUCACCCAAAAAAAAACCUCGCUUGUCCUCCAGCCCUAACAGGAAUUUAGUAAUACUCCCUUAGCAUGGGAGUGGUCCGGGGUUCGAUUCCCCGCGCGUCCA